UACCUGGUUGAUCCUGCCAGUAGUCAUAUGCUUGUCUCAAAGAUUAAGCCAUGCAAGUCUAAGUACGAGCUCUCGUACAGUGAAACUGCGAAUGGCUCAUUAAAUCAGUUAUGGUUCAUUUGAUCGUACAGUUUACUUGGAUAACUGUGGUAAUUCUAGAGCUAAUACAUGCGAGAA
rnacentral:ncRNA from 1 species